UAGCACAGUGCAUGCCCAGACUCUGGGAGU
rnacentral:piRNA from 1 species